AUUGAACGCUGGCGGCAGGCCUAACACAUGCAAGUCGAGCGAGCGGCGGACGGGUGAGUAAUGUAUGGGGACUGCCCGAUAGAGGGGGAUAACUACUGGAAACGGUGGCUAAUACCGCAUACUAUCGGAUAACCCAUAUGGGAUUAGCUAGUGGGUGGGGUAAAGGCUAACCUAGGCGACGAUCUCUAGCUGGUCUGAGAGGAGGAUCAGCCACACGGGGACGAGGAACGGGCCCGGAGUCCGAGGGGGGAAGAAGUGGGAAAUAUUGCAAAAUGGGGGAAAGCCGGAUGCAGCCAUGCCGCGUGGAUGAAGAAGGCCUUAGGGUUGUAAAGUACUUUCAGCGGGGAGGCGUAACCAGCAGAAGAAGCACCGGCUAACUCCGGGCCAGCAGCCGCGGAAUAC
rnacentral:rRNA from 1 species